rnacentral:sRNA from 14 species
GAGGGUGUUGCGGCUGAUCUGGAUUCGACGGGGGGGGCAUGUGC